rnacentral:rRNA from 1 species
AUUGAACGCUGGCGGCAGGCUUAACACAUGCAAGUCGAGCGGGGUGAUGGUGCUUGCACUAUCACUUAGCGGCGGACGGGUGAGUAAUGCUUAGGAAUCUGCCUAUUAGUGGGGGACGACAUCUCGAAAGGGAUGCUAAUACCGCAUACGUCCUACGGGAGAAAGCAGGGGAUCACUUGUGACCUUGCGCUAAUAGAUGAGCCCAAGUCGGAUUAGCUAGUUGGUGGGGUAAAGGCCUACCAAGGCGACGAUCUGUAGCGGGUCUGAGAGGAUGAUCCGCCACACUGGGACUGAGACACGGCCCUGACUCCUACGGGAGGCAGCAGUGGGGAAUAUUGGACAAGGGGGGGAACCCUGAUCCAGCCAUGCCGCGUGUGUGAAGAAGGCCUUAUGGUUGUAAAGCACUUUAAGCGAGGAGGAGGCUCUUUUGGUUAAUACCCAAGAUGAGUGGACGUUACUCGCAGAAUAAGCACCGGCUAACUCUGUGCCAGCAGCCGCCGCCG